rnacentral:rRNA from 1 species
AUUGAACGCUGGCGGCAGGCCUAACACAUGCAAGUCGAACGAGUGGCGGACGGGUGCGUAAUGUCUGGGAAACUGCCUGAUGGAGGGUGAUCACUACUGGAAACGGUAGCUAAUACCGCCUACCAUCAUAUGUGCCCAGAUGGGAUUAGCUUGUUGGUGGGGUAACGGCUCACCAAAUCGACGAUCCCUAGCUGGUCUGAGAGGAUGACAAGCCAACCGGGAACUGAGAAACGGUCCAGACUCCUACGGUAGUCAGCAGUGGGGAAGAUUGCAAAAUGGGCGCAAGCCUGAGGCAGCCAUGCCGCGUGUAUGAAGAAGGCCUGAGGGUUGUAAAGUACUGUCAGCGGGGAGGCGUUACCCGCAGAAGAAGCACCGGCUAACUCCGUGCCAGCAGCCGCGGUAAUAC